GAUGAAGAACGUAGUGAAAUGCGAUACGUAAUGUGAAUUGCAGAAUUCAGUGAAUCAUCGAAUCUUUGAACGCAUAUUGCGCUCUCUGGUAUUCCGGAGAGCAUGCUUGUUUGAGUAUCAGUAAACACCUCAACUUCCAUAUCUUUUUUGAAAUGGGAGCUGGACUUGAGUGAUCCCAACGCUUUUCCUCACCGAAAAGUGGCGGGUUACUUGAAAUGCAGGUGCAGCUGGACUUUUCUCUGAGCUAUAAGCAUAUCUAUUUAGUCUGCCUCAAAAACAGAUUAUUACCUUUGCUGCAGCUAACAUAAAGGAGAUUAGUUCUUGUGCUGACUGAUGCAGGAUUCACAAAGACAGCUUCGGCCGACUUUGUAAACUCGAUCUCAAAUCAAGUAAGACUACCCGCUGAACUUAAGCAUAUCAAUAAGCGGAGGA
rnacentral:misc_RNA from 1 species